GGUGGCUCAGUGGUAGAGCACUUGCCUUGCAUGCAUGAGGGCCUGAGUUCAAUUCCUGAGCACCA
rnacentral:tRNA from 1 species